UGGGGAAUAUUGCACAAUGGGGGAAACCCUGGUGCAGCAACGCCGCGUGAAGGAAGACGGUCUUCGGAUUGUAAACUUUUGUUCUUGGUGAAGAAAAAUGACGGUAGCCAAGGAGGAAGCCACGGCUAACUACGUGCCAGCAGCCGCGGUAAUACGUAGGUGGCAAGCGUUGUCCGGAAUUACUGGGUGUAAAGGGCGUGUAGGCGGAGAUGCAAGUUGGGAGUGAAAUCCAUGGGCUCAACCCAUGAACUGCUCUCAAAACUGUAUCCCUUGAGUAUCGGAGAGGCAAGCGGAAUUCCUAGUGUAGCGGUGAAAUGCGUAGAUAUUAGGAGGAACACCAGUGGCGAAGGCGGCUUGCUGGACGACAACUGACGCUGAGGCGCGAAAGCGUGGGGAG
rnacentral:rRNA from 1 species